rnacentral:siRNA from 1 species
AGCUACAAAAGCAGAUUGAGUUGG